CAGAGGGGGCAAGCGUUGUUCGGAAUUACUGGGCGUAAAGGGCGCGUAGGCGGCCCGCUAAGUCGAACGUGAAAUCCCCGAGCUCAACUCGGGAACUGCGUCCGAUACUGGUGGGCUUGAAUCCGGGAGAGGGAUGCGGAAUUCCAGGUGUAGCGGUGAAAUGCGUAGAUAUCUGGAGGAACACCGGUGGCGAAGGCGGCAUCCUGGACCGGCAUUGACGCUGAGGCGCGAAAGCUAGGGGAGCAAACGGGAUUAGAUACCCCGGUAGUCCUAGCCCUAAACGAUGAAUGCUUGGUGUGGCGGGUAUCGAUCCCUGCCGUGCCGAAGCUAACGCAUUAAGCAUUCCGCCUGGGGAGUACGGUCGCAAGGCUG
rnacentral:rRNA from 1 species